rnacentral:rRNA from 1 species
AUUGAACGCUGGCGGCAGGCCUAACACAUGCAAGUCGAACGGUAGCACAGAGAGCUUGCUCUCGGGUGACGAGUGGCGGACGGGUGAGUAACGUCUGGGAAACUGCCCGAUGGAGGGGGAUAACUACUGGAAACGGUAGCUAAUACCGCAUAACGUCGCAAGACCAAAGUGGGGGACCUUCGGGCCUCGCACCAUCGGAUGCGCCCAGAUGGGAUUAGCUAGUAGGUGGGGUAAUGGCUCACCUAGGCGACGGUCCCUAGCUGGUCUGAGAGGAUGAACAGCCACGCUGGAACUGAGACACGGUCCAGACUCCUACGGGAGGCAGCAGUGGGGAAGAUUGCACAAUGGGCGCAAGCCUGAUGCAGCCAUGCCGCGUGUAUGAAGAAGGCCUUCGGGUUGUAAAGUACUUUCAGCGGGGAGGAAGGCGGUGAAGUUAAUAGCUUCACCGAUUGACGUUACCCGCAGAAGAAGCACCGGCUAACUCCGUGCCAGCAGCCGCAGUAA